rnacentral:rRNA from 1 species
CCUACGGGUGGCAGCAGUGAGGAAUAUUGGUCAAUGGACGCAAGUCUGAACCAGCCAUGCCGCGUGCAGGAAGACGGCUCUAUGAGUUGUAAACUGCUUUUGUACGAGGGUAAACGCAGAUACGCGUCUCUGUCUGAAAGUAUCGUACGAAUCAGGAUCGGCUAACUCCGCGCCAGCAGCCGCGGUAAUACGGAGGAUUCAAGCGUUAUCCGGAUUUAUUGGGUUUAAAGGGUGCGUAGGCGGUAGGGUAAGUUAGAGGUGAAAUCCCGAGGAUCAACUUCGGAAGUGCCUCUGAUACUGUUCGGCUAGAGAGUAGUUGCGGUAGGCGGAAUGUAUGGUGGAGCGGUGAAAUGCGUAGAGAUCA